rnacentral:tmRNA from 1 species
CUGAAUUGGGGCCUGACGUCGUUAGGGGACUCACCAAUCGCUCCGGUCACGGGAGCGGGCGGAAAACCAAACAGUGACUGGGCCGCCACCGCGAAGUGCCGUACAAAGCGCGGGGGCCGAGACAGCGGCAGCACGGCUACGCACGUAGAAGAACGGAAAGAUCCUGCACGGACCCGGGUUCGAUUCCCGGCACCUCCACCA